UUCCUGUCUGCCUCCUCUGAGCUUCUCCUGCUGCUCCCCAGGAGUGUGACCACUCCAACAACGACCGUCUAGAGGGGGCUGAGAUCGAGGAGUUCCUGCGGCGGCUGCUGAAGCGGCCGGAGCUGGAGGAGAUCUUCCAUCAGUACUCGGGCGAGGACCGUGUGCUGAGUGCGCCCGAGCUGCUGGAGUUCCUGGAGGAGCAGGGCGAGGAGGGCGCCACACUGGCCCGCGCCCAGCAGCUCAUUCAGACCUACGAGCUCAACGAAACAGCCAAGCAGCAUGAGCUGAUGACACUGGAUGGCUUCAUGAUGUACCUGUUGUCUCCAGAGGGGGCUGCCUUGGACAACACCCACACGUGUGUGUUCCAGGACAUGAACCAGCCCCUCGCCCACUACUUCAUCUCUUCCUCCCACAACACCUAUCUGACCGACUCCCAGAUCGGGGGGCCCAGCAGCACCGAGGCCUACGUUAGGGCCUUUGCCCAGGGAUGCCGCUGCGUGGAGCUGGACUGCUGGGAGGGGCCAGGAGGGGAGCCCGUCAUCUAUCACGGCCAUA
rnacentral:sRNA from 1 species